CGAGCGCCCCGCAAGGGGAGCGGCAGACGGGUGAGUAACGCGUGGGAAUCUACCCAUCUCUACGGAAUAACGCAUGGAAACGUGUGCUAAUACCGUAUACGUCCUUCGGGAGAAAGAUUUAUCGGAGAUGGAUGAGCCCGCGUUGGAUUAGCUAGUUGGUGGGGUAAAGGCCUACCAAGGCGACGAUCCAUAGCUGGUCUGAGAGGAUGAUCAGCCACACUGGGACUGAGACACGGCCCAGACUCCUACGGGAGGCAGCAGUGGGGAAUAUUGGACAAUGGGCGCAAGCCUGAUCCAGCCAUGCCGCGUGAGUGAUGAAGGCCCUAGGGUUGUAAAGCUCUUUCACCGGUGAAGAUAAUGACGGUAACCGGAGAAGAAGCCCCGGCUAACUUCGUGCCAGCAGCCGCGGUAAUACGAAGGGGGCUAGCGUUGUUCGGAUUUACUGGGCGUAAAGCGCACGUAGGCGGACUAUUAAGUCAGGGGUGAA
rnacentral:rRNA from 1 species